rnacentral:rRNA from 1 species
UGGGGAAUUUUGGACAAUGGGCGAAAGCCUGAUCCAGCAAUGCCGCGUGUGUGAAGAAGGCCUUCGGGUUGUAAAGCACUUUUGUCCGGAAAGAAAUCCUUGGCUCUAAUACAGUCGGGGGAUGACGGUACCGGAAGAAUAAGCACCGGCUAACUACGUGCCAGCAGCCGCGGUAAUACGUAGGGUGCAAGCGUUAAUCGGAAUUACUGGGCGUAAAGCGUGCGCAGGCGGUUUGCUAAGACCGAUGUGAAAUCCCCGGGCUCAACCUGGGAACUGCAUUGGUGACUGGCAGGCUAGAGUAUGGCAGAGGGGGGUAGAAUUCCACGUGUAGCAGUGAAAUGCGUAGAGAUGUGGAGGAAUACCGAUGGCGAAAGGCAGCCCCCUGGGCCAAUACUGACGCUCAUGCACGAAAAGCGUGGGGAGCAAAACAGGAUUAGAUACCCUGGUAGUCCACGCCCUAAAACGAUGUCAACUAGUUGUUGGGGAUUCAUUUCCUUGGUAACGUAGCUAACGCGUGAAGUUGACCGCCUGGGGAGUACGGUCGCAAGAUUAAAACUCAAAUGAAUUGACGGGGUCAUAGCUGUUUCCU